rnacentral:rRNA from 1 species
UACGUAGGGGGCAAGCGUUGUCCGGAUUUAUUGGGCGUAAAGAGCGUGUAGGCGGCCAGACAGGUCCGUUGUGAAAACUCGAGGCUUAACCUCUAGACGUCGAUGGAAACCGUCUGGCUAGAGUCCGGAAGAGGAGAAUGGAAUUCCUGGUGUAGCGGUGAAAUGCGCAGAUAUCAGGAAGAACACCCGUGGCUAAGGCGGUUCUCUAGUACGGUACUGACGCUGAGACGCGAAAGCGUGGGGAGCGAACAGG